rnacentral:rRNA from 1 species
CCGGAGCUUGCUCCACCGAAAGAAAAAGAGUGGCGAACGGGUGAGUAACACGUGGGUAACCUGCCCAUCAGAAGGGGAUAACACUUGGAAACAGGUGCUAAUACCGUAUAACACUAUUUUCCGCAUGGAAGAAAGUUGAAAGGCGCUUUUGCGUCACUGAUGGAUGGACCCGCGGUGCAUUAGCUAGUUGGUGAGGUAACGGCUCACCAAGGCCACGAUGCAUGAGCCGACCUGAGAGGGUGAUCGGCCACACUGGGACUGANACACGGCCCAGACUCCUACGGGAGGCAGCAGUAGGGAAUCUUCGGCAAUGGACGAAAGUCUGACGCGAGCAACGCCGUCGUGAGUGAAGAAGGUUUUCGGAUCGUAAAACUCUGUUGUUAGAGAAGAACAAGGAGUGAGAGUAGAACGUUCAUCCCUUGAUCGGUAUCUAACCAGAAAGCCACGGCUAACUACGUGCCAGCAGCCGCGGUAAUACGUACGUGGCAAGCGUUGUCCGGAUUUAUUGGGCGUAAAGCGAGCGCAGGCGGUUUCUUAAGUCUGAUGUGAA